CGUUAGCUCAGUUGGUAGAGCAGCUGACUCUUAAUCAGCGGGUCGUAGGUUCGAAUCCUACACG
rnacentral:tRNA from 1 species